GGCGCUCCCCUUUCAAAGCUUGGACCUCAGAUCAGGCAAGAUUACCCGCUGAGUUUAAGCAUAUCACUAAGCGGAGGAAAAGAAAC
rnacentral:rRNA from 1 species